GGCAGGUUAGUGGGUGACGGGUGAGGCACACGUGGGCAACCUGCCUGUAAGUUGGGGAUAACUCCGGGACACCGUGGCUAAUACCGAAAGAUAAAGUGUGGCGCAUGCCACGCUUUUGAAAGAUGGUUUCGGCUAUCGCUUACAGAUGGGCCCGCGGUGCAUUAGCUAGUUGGUAGGGUAAUGGCCUACCAAGGCAACGAUGCAUAGCCGACCUGAGAGGGUGAUCGGCCACACUGGGACUGAGACACGGCCCAGACUCCUACGGGAGGCAGCAGUAGGGAAUCUUCCGCAAUGGACGAAAGUCUGACGGAGCAACGCUGCGUGUAUGAAGAAGGUUUUCGGAUCGUAAAGUACUGUUGUUAGAGAAGAACAAGGAUAAGAGUAACUGCUUGUCCCUUGACGGUAUCUAACCAGAAAGCCACGGCUAACUACGUGCCAGCAGCCGCGGUAAUACGUAGGUGGCAAGCGUUGUCCGGAUU
rnacentral:rRNA from 1 species